CCCUUAGAUGUUCUGGGCCGCACGCGCGCUACACUGAUGCAUUCAACGAGUCUAAAACCUGCUCUGAUAGGGGUGGGUAAUCUUUUGAAUGUGCAUCGUGAUUGGGAUAGAUGAUUGCAAUUUUUCAUCUUCAACGAGGAAUGCCUAGUAAACGCAAGUCAUCAGCUUGCAUUGAUUACGUCCCUGCCCUUUGUACACACCGCCCGUCGCUCCUACCGAUUGAAUGAUCCGAUGAAUAUCAUGGAUUGAGGAUGCAAGUAGGUACGCCUAUCUUCAUCUUCGAGAAGUGAAGUAAAUCUUAUCAUUUAGAGGAAGGAGAAGUCGUAACA
rnacentral:rRNA from 1 species